AACCAGCGCUUUGUUGUGAAGCACCAUUGAAAACAGCCGGCGCCAUGACAGUGUGACCCAAACGAGCUGUGGAAUGACUUGGGGCUUAGUAAAAUAUUACUAUAAAUUUCGCAACGAAAUCUUCCGCUUUACAUGAACGAAGAUGGUGGAACCGUAUCUUGCAAUAACACUUGAUGAUUCCUGAAAUUAAAGCAAAGACAUGGCUAUCUCCAACUGAGCAUUCAAGCAUGUGAUCGUCUAGUUCUCUGAAAACUUUUGAAAUAUCAAGGUCUUGCAGAACAGACAAAGCAAUGGCAUCUGGAAUUCCUUUCUGAACUGACCACAAAUGUAAUCAAAGGCUUCUUCAAGAAAUUGGUUCCAAUAAUCCUUGUUGUUGAAUCUAAGAGCUGAUUUGAAACCCUUGGCAAGAGGACUCCUGGAGUUGAGCACAUCAAAAAGCCUAUCAAAAACUCGAAUAAA